rnacentral:lncRNA from 1 species
UGAUGGGAGUAACUGACCUAGAUCUACUGUGAACCAAAUGUCAAAAAGUACCUCCUCUGCCCUGAGAAGCCUGGUGGACUCCAGCCUGCGUCAACUGUGACAUCUCAGCGCUGCUGUUGGUAUCACUUCAUUUAAGCAUCGCCAUGUUUGAAGCAGGUAUAUUAUUGUCACUACCAUUCAUGAGGAAAGCAAGGAUUAGAGAGGAUGAGCAUAUCACCCAAGGUUACCCAGCUGGUAGCAGUGUAUGAAAAGUUCCUUCAUUUUCUUGUCAUCACUUUGUGUCCGGAAUUGGUGAGUUCUCGGUCUCACUGACUUCAAGAAUGAAGCCACGGACC